rnacentral:rRNA from 1 species
UCGUACGCGAAGGGGAGCAAUCCCUGAGUAGAGUGGCAAACGGGUGAGUAACACGUGGGUGACCUGCCUCAGAGUGGGGGAUAACGUCCCGAAAGGGACGCUAAUACCGCAUAACAUCCUGCCUUUGGAAAGGCGGAGAUCAAAGCCGGGGAUCGCAAGACCUGGCGCUUGGAGAGGGGCCCGCGUCUGAUUAGCUAGUUGGUAGGGUAAUGGCCUACCAAGGCAACGAUCAGUAUCCGGCCUGAGAGGGCGGACGGACACACUGGGACUGAGACACGGCCAGACUCCUACGGGAGGCAGCAGUGGGGAAUUGUUCGCAAUGGGCGCAAGCCUAACGACGCAACGCCGCGUGGAGGAUGAAGAUCUUCGGGUCGUAAACUCCUGUCGAGCGGGAAGAACACCUUUCGGGCGAAUAUCCCGGAAGGCUGACGGUACCGCUAAGGGAAGCCCCGGCUAACUCCGUGCCAGCAGCCGCGGUAAUACGGGGGGGGCAAGCGUUGUUCGGAAUUACUGGGCGUAAAGGGCUCGUAGGCGGCCAACUAAGUCAGACGUGAAAUCCCCAGGCUCAACCUGGGAACUGCGUCUGAUACUGGA